GUUGUUGUGGUGUAGUGGUUAUCACGUCAGUCUUACACACUGAAGGUCUCCAGUUCAAUCUCUGGGCAGCAACA